UACGUAGGGGGCAAGCGUUAAUCGGAAUUACUGGGCGUAAAGCGUGCGCAGGCGGUUGUGUAAGGCAGAUGUGAAAUCCCCGGGCUCAACCUGGGAACUGCAUUUGUGACUGCACAGCUGGAGUGCGGCAGAGGGGGAUGGAAUUCCGCGUGUAGCAGUGAAAUGCGUAGAUAUGCGGAGGAACACCGAUGGCGAAGGCAAUCCCCUGGGCCUGCACUGACGCUCAUGCACGAAAGCGUGGGGAGCAAACAGG
rnacentral:rRNA from 1 species